AAUUGUUCGCAAUGGGCGCAAGCCUGACGACGCGACGCCGCGUGAGUGAUGAAGGCCUUCGGGUUGUAAAGCUCUGUGGAGAGGGAAGAAUAAGUGUUGGCUAACAUCCAGCAUGAUGACGGUACCUCUUUAGCAAGCACCGGCUAACUCUGUGCCAGCAGCCGCGGUAAGACAGAGGGUGCAAACGUUGUUCGGAAUUACUGGGCGUAAAGCGCGUGUAGGCGGCUUGGCAAGUCGGGUGUGAAAGCCCCGGGCUCAACCUGGGAAGUGCACUCGAAACUGCUUGGCUUGAGUACUGGAGAGGGAAGCGGAAUUCUCGGUGUAGAGGUGAAAUUCGUAGAUAUCGAGAGGAACACCGGUGGCGAAGGCGGCUUCCUGGACAGUUACUGACGCUGAGACGCGAAAGCGUGGGGAGCAAAC
rnacentral:rRNA from 1 species